rnacentral:lncRNA from 1 species
GGGACCUGAACCCACAAACCUUGGGCAGCUGAAGCGGAGCAUGCGAACUUAACCACUAUGACACUGGGCCAGGCCCCUGGAUUUGGCUCUUUUAAACAAGAGACUAAUUCAUACACCAGAAUACCAAUGGAUUAAUUUGUACUAGAAGAUUUAACUGCUGUGACUAACGUUAUCACCGCGCCCGCCAGCUGAAAUUCUCCUUCCUAUUAUCAAGAUACCUGGGACUCCAACUCAAUGAUCAGAAAGUUGCUUUCUGAGAAGUACCUUGCAGAGCAAAAUCAAGUUGAAUUCACCUAAGAAUUAUUUUCAUCUUUUUGUAUUCUCCCACACAGAUUAGCAAGAAGUCUUGAUUUACCAAUUGGCUGUGUUUCAAAUGUUGAUUUCAGAUUUUUUUGGUUAGAAUUUGUAACAUUUCCCCCCAUUAAUAAUAUUACUAAGGUGGUUAAAUUCCAGCUGUUCUAUAAAAGCUUUUUUCAGCUGUAAUGUGGAUAAAACAACGUACUUUUAGAAAAAUAGUGGGAAAUGGUAGCUGUCUUAAGACUAAAAUUAAACAAAACAAACAAAUUGAAUGAAGUGGUACAUGAAAUACUCAAACAUUCUCCCCUCUUCAAUUUCACUUGUGUUAAGCUCGCCCCAAUCUGCUUUCAACACUUUUUCUCCAUCCUCAUGGCACACUGGGUACAUCUAUAAAGCGGCAUUUAUUACACUGCACUGCAAUUAUCAACUUACCUUGCUGUCUUCUUUACUAGAAGAAUCUUUUGUAAACUAUGACUUGCUAACAGAGGUUUUGAGAUGUUUUCAAAAAAGUGUUUGGAGGAUUUAAUUGUGAGUAUUAUGCAAACUAAAAGGCCUCUAGAAGGCCAAUUCAAAGAUUCAUUCUUAGUAAGGAUUUCUAGGAAAAGAGAAUGAUUAUCUAAUCUUUGCUGGAAUAUGGAAAAUAAACGUUUCGUAACAGUCACCGAGUGAGAGUCAACUGGGAGGAUGGAUGCCUGGUUUCUCAGACUAAGUCUUAAGUCCAUUAAAUCUCAUGAGAAAAUUGCUUGUGUGUUUUAUCAGGAGGGCUAAUUUCUUCCCAGAGGGAGGUCUGGAAUAAUGCUACAAAAUAGGGUUCUGUCCCAUAUCAAGUUUUGAACAAUUUUUUUUUAAAGAGAUAAUGGGGUCUUGUAUAAAU